GAUGAACGCUGGCGGCGUGCCUAAUACAUGCAAGUCGAGCGAUGAGAUGAGGAGCUUGCUCCUCUGACGUUAGCGGCGGACGGGUGAGUAACACGUGGAUAACCUACCUAUAAGAGUGGGAUAACUUCGGGAAACCGGAGCUAAUACCGUAUAAUAUAUUAAACCGCAUGGUUCAUUUGUGAAAGACGGUUUUGCUGUCUCAUAUAGAUGCAUCCCCGCGUCUUUGGCUGGUUGGUACGGUAACGGCUUACCAGGGGAACGAUGAGUAGCCGACCUGCUGGGGUGAUAGGCCACACUGGAACUGGACCAGGGUCAAGACUCCUACGGGAGGCAGCAGAAGGGAACCUUGCGCAAUGGGCGAAAGCCUGACGGAGCAACCCAGCGUGAGUGACAACGGUCUCGGGAUCGUAAAACUCGGUUAUUGGGGAGAAACAAAUGUGUAAGGAAAAGUGCACAUCGUGACGGUACCUAAACAGAAAGCGACGGCUAACUACGUG
rnacentral:rRNA from 1 species